GGGUGCUGCUCCUGGUCAUCCUCAGUCGGGGGCUGGCACGGGGGCUAAGGGAAUGGAGGUGGAUAGAAAGAGGUCAGUCCAGGCUGGGCGCGGUGGCUCACGCCUGUAAUCCCAGCACUUUGGGAGGCCGAGGCGGGCAGAUCACAAGAUCAGGAGAUUGAGACCAUCUCAAUGGUGGUGGCUAACAUGGUGAAACCCCGUCUCUACUAAAAAUACAAAAAAUUAGCCGGGUGUGGUGGCACACGCCUGUGGUCCCAGCUACUUGGGAGGCUGAGGCAGGAGAAUCACUUGAACCUGGGAGGCAGAGGUUGCAGUGAGCCGAGAUCACACCACUGCACUCCAGCCUUGGGGACAGAGUGAGACUCCGUCUCCAAAAAAAAAAAAAAAAAAAGGGUCAGUCCAAGUUCAGGGUGGGAGGACGGGGAGCGACCAUCACCCAGGGUGGCCAGCAGAGCACACCCCGGAGAGCGAGGCUGGAGGUGGCCUCCAACCUCAGGUCCCCCGCUCGCAAAGACACACUCAGACCAGAGCCCCAGGACAUGACGGCACACACCCCACCCGAGGGUAGUGGGCAACACCCAGAUGGGCUGACGAGUGUGACAGGGACUGCAGGGUAAGAGCUGGGGCCAGCCAGGGAGGGGCCAGAUGAGGGUCAUGGCCUCCUGGGCUUCAAGGAGGAGCUGGGGCUGGGGUGGGGGCGUGGUGCAUUCAUCCCCGGCCGCAGCUGAUCUGGAGCCAUCUGUAGCGAAAUGCUUGCUGAGCAAAUUACGAGGGUCAACAGGAGCAGGGCAGACGCUUCUCCCACCUGCUGGCCAGUGUUCCCUCGGCUACCGUGCACUCAGCCCCACAGUGACCCCUGAGUGGAUACCGGCCCUGCCUGCCCUGGGCUCUCAAUGGGGGCUCGGGGCCUCACAGGGCCAGCACGAGCC
rnacentral:lncRNA from 10 species